rnacentral:lncRNA from 1 species
CUUGGACAGUGGUUUCCCCAGAGGGCAGCAGGGGUCUAAAGGAACUACUAUCAGAUGAGCAAAGGUGUGUGCGCUGCAGCUGUGUUCAGAAGGCAGGAUGCCCCAGCCAAGGAAGGAAGUCUUGUCUCUGGUUUAAAUUUCCCAGUGCAGCC